CAUCAGAGCUUAAGACAGUGUAGCCCUUGUGUCUUAGAAUACUGCUUUGAGCUACAACAGGAUCCCUCAUCUUGCCAAGAUGAAAGCGGUAGACCAAAGAGAAGAGCCAUAGUACUGCUUGGACCACAAAAGAGCAGAGGAAGGAGGAAAUUGCAAAAUUACAGCCAACAGGAACAUCUCAAAGUGAACGUCCUGAAAUUGAAAAAACAGGGUCUUCUAGGAUCCCACUUCAGAAAUGAUACCGGUGGCAUUACAGCUGCACUAGGGCUCAGUCAAAGUUGCUGUACCCUGCUAGUCACCUGCGACAAUUAUCUCAGAAAAAGCACCACAUUGAUGUGGCUAUGCUAUUUCCAAUACCUAAACUGGCUCAGCUGGCUCUGCAGACCCUGCACUGAACUGGACAUUUACAAAUACAAAUAUGUCCAGAUACAGACAGACAUAAAAUCUGAAGCACUUCAAAGGGCGAGUAAACAGACAUAAAAAGAACCUGGAAAAACAUUUAACUUCUCUGAACUGCUUCAUUCUGCAGUGUUCCCUAUUACAUCUGUCUUCCAGCAUCCAUCCCCACCCCCAGGCAGAUGGGUGAUGGGGCAGAACACCAACAUCACUCUCCUGUGAAUUCAGCUGUCAUCAGAGGUAGAGACAAGAAAUCCCUGCAUACGUCUCUGCCUUUGGUCUCCCAGUUUCAGAAAAGGACAGGGGGGAGGAGAGGUAGGACAGUAUGCUCUGGGAGAUUGGAGACCAGAAACCAAGUGCACACAAUUGGAGCACUCACUGGCUGCCUGUCCCACUUCAUCCCUUUGCCACCCUGGGAAAGGAGUGGAGUUUUAGCACAAAGCAACUCUCUACCGUACCUCCUGGCUGGAGAGCAGGCUACUGUGUGCCAUCAUGGGAAUUUUGAAGUGUUCCUAAGGUGGGGGGGUGGGGGCUGUACACCUGUGUAGAGCUGAAGCACUCACUUUCUGAAGUGCUUCAAUCUAUCCCUACCCUUCAUGUCACUUUCUUUGAUGAUU